rnacentral:rRNA from 1 species
CAGUAGUCACGUAGUUUGAUCAUGGCUCAGGAUGAACGCUAGCGGUAUGCUUAACACAUGCAAGUCGUACGGGAGUUUUUAACUCAAGUGGCGGACGGGUGAGUAACACGUGAGAAUUUACCUUUAGGAGGGGAUAACAAUUGGAAACGAUUGCUAAUACCCCAUAUGCUUUUUUAAGUGAAACGGAUUUAUUCGCCUAAAGAAAAGCUCGCGGCUGAUUAGCUAGUUGGUAAGGUAAUGGCUUACCAAGGCGACGAUCGGUAGCUGGUCUGAGAGGACGACCAGCCACACUGGGACUGAGACACGGCCCAGACUCCUACGGGAGGCAGCAGUGGGGGAAUAUUGGACAAUGGGCGAAAGCCUGAUCCAGCAAUGCCGCGUGAGUGAUGAAGGCCUUCGGGUUGUAAAGCUCUUUUACUCGGGACGAUAAUGACGGUACCGAGAGAAUAAGCCCCGGCUAACUCCGUG